rnacentral:pre_miRNA from 1 species
UAAAUACUCCCUCCGUUCGGAAUUACUCGUCCAAAAAAUGAAUGUAUCUAGAUGUAUUUUAGUUGUAGAUACAUCUAUUUUUGUGACAAGUAAUUCCGAACGGAGGGAGUAACUG